AACGUAGGAGGCGAGCGUUAUCCGGAUUCACUGGGCGUAAAGCGCGUGCAGGCGGUUCGGUAAGUUUGGCGUGAAAUCUCCUGGCUUAACUAGGAGAGGUCGUCCAAUACUACCGGGCUAGAGAGUGGUAGAGGAAGAUGGAAGUCCCGGUGUAGUGGUGAAAUGCGUAGAUAUCGGGAGGAACACCAGUGGCGAAAGCGAUCUUCUGGACCAUUUCUGACGCUCAGACGCGAAAGCUAGGGUAGUAAACGGG
rnacentral:rRNA from 1 species